rnacentral:rRNA from 1 species
GAUGAACGCUGGCGGCGUGCCUAAUACAUGCAGGUCGAGCGAACAGACGAGGAGCUUGCUCCUCUGACGUUAGCGGCGGACGGGUGAGUAACACGUGGAUAACCUACCUAUAAGACUGGGAUAACUUCGGGAAACCGGAGCUAAUACUGGAUAAUAUAUUGAACCGCAUGGUUCAAUAGUGAAAGACGGUUUUGCUGUCACUUAUAGAUGGAUCCGCGCCGCAUUAGCUAGUUGGUAAGGUAACGGCUUACCAAGGCGACGAUGCGUAGCCGACCUGAGAGGGUGAUCGGCCACACUGGAACUGAGACACGGUCCAGACUCCUACGGGAGGCAGCAGUAGGGAAUCUUCCGCAAUGGGCGAAAGCCUGACGGAGCAACGCCGCGUGAGUGAUGAAGGUCUUCGGAUCGUAAAACUCUGUUAUUAGGGAAGAACAAAUGUGUAAGUAACUAUGCACGUCUUGACGGUACCUAAUCAGAAAGCCACGGCUAACUACGUG